UGCAGAAUCCCGUGAACCAUCGAGUUUUUGAACGCAAGUUGCGCCCGAUGCCAUUAGGCCGAGGGCACGUCUGCCUGGGUGUCA
rnacentral:rRNA from 1 species